CCACCAACCCACCGAUUCCCCCGAUUCCCCGUUCUCUCGAGCGCCUCGUCGCCUCCGACGGCGCCGCCGUUCCUCUUUCGUCUCGAGCUCACGCACGCGGCUCACGUCGCUCGCCGUCGACGCUUCCCGGCGAGGCCAUCCGCGGCCAUCGUCGCUUCUUCCCGGAGCCGCGCCGCCAACCCACCCCGUCUCCACACCCCCGCGCGGCACCCUGUCUUGCCCUCUCUCUCUAGGAUUUUCCUCGCCCGGAUUCUGCCAUGGCUGCUCAAUCACAUGUCCAGGAUGGCAUCAGUAUGCACACCCAGCCUUAGAAGCAACGCCAUUUGUUUAGAACCUCUGCAUUAUAGCCACUAA
rnacentral:lncRNA from 1 species